AUGACUACCUGGAACAACCACUACCAGUCCUCGUGCAACUUCGCGGCCUAUGAAGUUGACAACAGUGAAACGAGCACCAACCAGGGGUAUGUACGAGACCCAUCUUCAGAAUCGGUCCAGCAGCAGCUACCGGUAUGUGACGUGGACAGGCUCAGCCGUGAGCUUGUCACGUCAAAGGAGAGUACAAUGAAGGCACUCAAGGAGUUGAAUGACUCCCUGAAGAAAGAGAAGGAAGAGAUGAUCGACGAGAACUCUGAUCUCUGCGAUAAGAAAUUGAAGCUCAUCGACCAGAAGAAGCUACUGGUCACCGAGAUCGAGUCUAUGAAGAAGGAGAUACGGCUCCUGAAGGCCGAGAGGGAGGAACUGAAGACCCGCAAAGUCUAUUUAAGAAAGGAGGGACAGAGCAACAGAAACAAGUUGUGUGAGAUGAGGAUCAUUCUUCAUCAUAGUUAG
rnacentral:rRNA from 1 species